rnacentral:rRNA from 1 species
GAUGAACGCUGGCGGCGUGCCUAAUACAUGCAAGUCGAGCGAAUGGAUUAAGAGCUUGCUCUUAUGAAGUUAGCGGCGGACGGGUGAGUAACACGUGGGUAACCUGCCCAUAAGACUGGGAUAACUCCGGGAAACCGGGGCUAAUACCGGAUAACAUUUUGAACCGCAUGGUUCGAAAUUGAAAGGCGGCUUCGGCUGUCCCUUAUGGAUGGACCCGCGUCGCAUUAGCUAGUUGGUGAGGUAACGGCUCACCAAGGCAACGAUGCGUAGCCGACCUGAGAGGGUGAUCGGCCACACUGGGACGGAGACACGGCCCAGACUCCUACGGGAGGCAGCAGUAGGGAAUCUUCCGCAAUGGACGGAAGUCUGACGGAGCAACGCCGCGUGAGUGAUGAAGGCUUUCGGGUCGUAAAACUCUGUUGUUAGGGAAGAACAAGUGCUAGUUGAAUAAGCUGGCACCUUGACGGUACCUAACCAGAAAGCCACGGCUAACUACGUGCCAGCAGCCGCCGUAA